rnacentral:rRNA from 1 species
UGAGUUUGAUCCUGGCUCAGGACGAACGCUGGCGGCGUGCCUAAUACAUGCAAGUCGAGCGGAGUUCUAAUCAUUGAAGCCUUCGGGUCGAUUUGGUUAAAACUUAGCGGCGGACGGGUGAGUAACACGUGGGUAACCUGCCUGUAAGACUGGGACAACUCGUGGAAACAUGAGCUAAUACCAGAUAAGCUUACACUACUGCAUGGUAGAGUAAGAAAAGGAGGUUUCGGCUUCCACUUACAGAUGGGCCUGCGGCGCAUUAGCUAGUUGGUAAGGUAACGGCUUACCAAGGCGACGAUGCGUAGCCGACCUGAGAGGGUGAUCGGCCACACUGGGACUGAGACACGGCCCAGACUCCUACGGGAGGCAGCAGUAGGGAAUCUUCCGCAAUGGACGAAAGUCUGACGGAGCAACGCCGCGUGAGUGAUGAAGGUUUUCGGAUCGUAAAGCUCUGUUGCCAGGGAAGAACACAUGAGUGUUAACUGCACUCAUGCUGACGGUACCUGAGAAGAAAGCCCCGGCUAACUACGUGCCAGCAGCCGCGGUAAUACGUAGGGGGCAAGCGUUGUCCGGAAUUAUUGGGCGUAAAGCGCGCGCAGGCGGCUAAGUAAGUCUUGUGUUUAAUCCCGGAGCUCAACUUCGGGUCGCACGAGAAACUGCCUAGCUUGAGUGCAAAAGAGGAGAGUGGAAUUCCACGUGUAGCGGUGAAAUGC